GUUGCAGUGAGGGAGAAUAAUAUUUUUGAGGGCUCAUAUUAUUUUCCCGAUCGAUCACAAGGGGGCGAGAGAAAAAGUCUUCAAAGUGUUGUUAGAAAUUGUAUUGAGGCUUUGGAUUCGACGAAAGGUGUCGAGAGGCGGAGGACGGACGGAUAUGAAGGUAGGAAUAGAGAUGCUCACCGGCAAAUUCUUCUACGUGGAGGUGGAAGAUGAAGCAACGGUUGGCGGUUUAAAGAGAGAGAUCGCAAGGAAGGAGGAGUUGGAGGAAAGCAGGCUAUUACUGGUGGACUGCAGUAGCAAUCUGCUCCAGGAUGACGACCGCGCUCUCGCUGCCUACGGCUGCUUCGAUGGAUCCAUCAUCCGCCUCAUCGUUCUACCGGUUGGAAAUUUAGCAUGGCCACAGCUUCUCGAAGACUGGGACUUCUUCCACGUCAACGACGGAGAAUGAAGCUAACAUAGGUGUUGCACUGUCUCGUCUCUUUGGAGCUGUGAGCGCCAGAUUCCAGGCCGUGGAAUUCACAGUCGAUCCAUUAACUCCGCUACUCUCUCUCUC